rnacentral:tRNA from 1 species
AGCAGCGUAGAGCAGUUGGAAGCUCGCCAGGCUCAUAACCUGGAGGUCGCAGGUUCGAGUCCUGUCGCUGCAACCA